rnacentral:rRNA from 1 species
UACAGAGGGCGCAAACGUUGCUCGGAAUGACUGGGCGUAAAGAGCGUGUAGGCGGGAUGUUAAGUCGACUGUGAAAGCCCAUGGCUCAACCAUGGAAGUGCAGUCGAUACUGGCAUUCUUGAGUCCCGGAGAGGGUGGUAGAAUUCCUAGUGUAGAGGUGAAAUUCGUAGAUAUUAGGAGGAAUACCGGUGGCGAAGGCG